CCUACGGGUGGCAGCAGUGAGGAAUAUUGCCCAAUGGAGGAAACUCUGAGGCAGCGACGCCGCGUGGGUGAAGAAGGCCUUCGGGUCGUAAAGCCCUUUUCUGUGUGACGAGCAAGGACGGUAGCACAGGAAAAAGUCUCGGCUAACUACGUGCCAGCAGCCGCGGUAAAACGUAGGAGGCGAGCGUUAUCCGGAGUUACUGGGCGUAAAGCGUGCGUAGGCGGGUCGGUAAGUGGGUCGUGAAAGCGCCGGGCUAAACCGGGCGAGGACGAACUAGACUGCCGGUCUAGAGGCGGAUAGAGGGGUGCGGAAUUCCGGGUGUAGCGGUGAAAUGUGUAGAGAUCCGGAGGAACACCAGUGGUGCAAACGGCGCCCUGGGUCCGAACUGACGCUGAGGCACGAAAGCGUGGGGAGCGAACGGGAUUAGAUACCCUAGUAGU
rnacentral:rRNA from 1 species